rnacentral:lncRNA from 1 species
CCAAAAAUCACAUAUAAGAUUUUCUUUAUUACAAUUUACUAAAAUUACAUAAGAAAACAAAGAAUGAAAAAUAAAAUAAAAAUCCUGUAAUUUGCGCAAAUCCAAGUUAUAAUAAUUUCAUAUACAUUAUCUAUAAUGACUUGUGCACGUUCUUCAGCCUUUGGUGGUUCUGCAGGAGAUAGUGGCUCAACAAGUUUUUCAUGCAAAUUAUAUCUUGUUUUGGGGUUGAGGUCCAAAAGAGAGAUCUCCACAUCUUGGUUUGCAAGUGAAUCAACUAUAGCCAUCUUGUUGACACCCACAGUUCCAUUGACAGUUCCUGGCAUCAGACAUAAUAGAUAAUAAGAACGGGACAAUCAU